rnacentral:tRNA from 1 species
ACCUGGCUGGCUCAGUUGGUAGAGCAUGAAACUCUUGAUCUUGGGGUUGUGAGCUCAAGUCCCACGUUGGGUG